AUUGAACGCUGGCGGCAGGCUUAACACAUGCAAGUCGAGCGGAGAUGAGGUGCUUGCACCUUAUCUUAGCGGCGGACGGGUGAGUAAUGCUUAGGAAUCUGCCAUUUAGUGGGGGACAACAUUCCGAAAGGAAUGCUAAUACCGCAUACGUCCUACGGGAGAAAGCAGGGGAUCUUCGGACCUUGCGCUAAAUGAUGAGCCUAAGUCGGAUUAGCUAGUUGGUGGGGUAAAGGCCUACCAAGGCGACGAUCUGUAGCGGGACUGAGAGGAUGAUCCGCCACACUGGGACUGAGACACGGCCCAGACUCCUACGGGAGGCAGCAGAGGGGAAUAUUGGACAAUGGGCGGAAGCCUGAUCCAGCCAUGCCGCGUGUGUGAAGAAGGCCUUUUGGUUGUAAAGCACUUUAAGCGAGGAGGAGGCUACUGAGACUAAUACUCUUGGAUAGUGGACGUUACUCGCAGAAUAAGCACCGGCUAACUCUGUGCCAGCCGCCGCCGUAACAC
rnacentral:rRNA from 1 species